UCAUGGAUCUGGAAUCCUAGCAGAGGUCUGGGUAGCAUGAUCCCAACAAGAACAAUGCAAGUUGGACCCACAUCACAAUGACUGCAAUAUGAUUCUCCAGUUAGCCUUCUAGAACCUCUUCUAAGAAAAAUUAACCCAACUUCAUCAUUAUUAACUUUUUCCUUUACAGAGGUGGCCAGUCACCAAAAAAGAAGUAUAAUCCUGUUGUAGAAGCAAAUCACUUAUCUCCAGGGAAGAAUGUGUUGAUGAUGAAAAAAUUACCAGAAGGACAUAUUAUGCUAAUUAGGAUAAAAAGUACAUAUGGUCUCAUAAGAAAAGGCUUUCCGUAUUUGCAGCCUUGAAAAACACCAACAUAAGAUUUAAAACUGAGACUGAGUCUCACUAUGUUACCCAGGCUGGUCUCAAAUUCUGGGGCUGAAGCAAUACUCUCACCUUGGCCUCUCAAAGUGCAGAUUACAGGCAUGAGCCACUGAGUCCAGCCCAAAUAUGACGACUUCAAAACUGAAUUACAUCAUUAUACAUUAUAACAUAAAAGAAGUAACUCUGGGAUUGUUAAGUAUUUCAAUAUCUAUAAUCAUCACUAAUAAAAGGUUUGAAUUUA